CGGAGAUAAACCUCGAACAACUAGGGUUUCAGCUGAACCCUAGAAUGAGAAAGGCUUAGAAAAUGUAUGAUCUAAGUCGGAUAAAACUGGAAAUGGGUUUAGGAGGCUAAAAUAUGCUGGAAACAGGACGGAGAUGGCCAGAAACCUCAAGUAGGCAUAGAUCUGGGUGGAGACCUUUGAGGUCUAGCAUCAAUCCUUCGAAUAUCAAGCACAGAAGAGCGAUAGGAGGUGAGUAUGAGGGUUUCACGGCCUGAGAAGCCAUGGAAACCAGUGAGAAUCGAAGGGAUUAGGUCUUGGAGGGCGGCGACUAGGGUUUGCAGAGAGAGUGGGAGAGGAAGGGAAUUCAAGGGCGGCG
rnacentral:lncRNA from 1 species